AGGAGUACCAUGUCCAUAAGCAACAGAGGCUCAAGCCUUUUGGAAGUAUCCCAAGAAGCUUUAUCCAAAUAGAACUUCACAUCCAUUAUUGACAACGACGUAGAUAUUGAUUCCAAGCAAGACGUGGCCGCCAUGGCUGUUCCAUUCAGUCAAUUUCACUCUCUCCUUUCUUUCAACCAAUAAUUCACUUCACACCUCCCUUCCAUAUUUAAUUUAAUUUGGAUCAUAUCCACCAAUAUAAUUUCCAAAAAAUGGGACUCGACGACUGGGAACUCCUCGAUUGCCACGAAGAUCGUGAAGAGAAAAGCAGGCACGAAAACGAAGUAAUUUCCGGCCAGAAGUUGAUCGCCGACACGAAAAAGGAGUUGGAAAUCGUCGCGGAGUUUGAGGUGGAGGAAGAGGAAAAGGAGAAUUCAAGACGAGGGAUGGAUAUGGCGACGGAGAAAAAGAAACAACGGGGGAGAGCGGUUGUUUGUUCGUUUGGAAUUGCUGUGGCGGCUACGAUUUGUAGUGUGUUGUUGGGAAGCCAUAGCCACCACCAUGGGGGAGGUGCGUUUGUGAAUAAACGCCAUUGUUGAACGUUGAAUACUACAAUAGGUUUUUUAUUUAUGAAUCAAACUAGCAAAAGCAUGUAUGAUUUUGUACUCUCUUGUUACUUUAUUUUUCCUUGGUGAUUAGUUUUCUACUAAUUAUUAUUCUCGUAGUUAGAGAUUACAAUAAUUGGAUCAAUUAUAAUGAAUAUGGAUUGAUGACUUUUGAUGAUGUUUGUUUAAAUAUUUUGCAAAGGUAGUCUAACUUUCUUAGCUUUACACAUUUGUUGCAUUUAAAGUCAAGAGGCCAGGGUAACAAUAACAAUAAUUAAGACAGUUUUCGUAUUUCUCUUAUUGAUUUUGAUAAUUAACACGUGACAACAUGUAAUGACAAGAGAACUAGAGCUGGUAUUGAAUUGACUCUAACAUUUUUCGUUUUGAAAUUUCUAUUUUAUUUAUAUUAUUGUUGAAAAUAUUAUGAGUAAAUUUAUUGCUAUUUCUUGGCUAAAUUAUAAAAAGGGUCUCUGUGUCAUAAAAGUUCAGUUUCAAAAUAUCCUUAAACUUCUAAAAUGAGUUCAAAAAUACAUUUUGCGUUAGUUUUUUUUUUUUUUUUUUUAUGGAAAUUGUUGUAGGGUUUUUUCAAAAAUAUCCUCAAUUUUCAAAAUUUCAAAAUACCUUUGAACAAAGUUAAAAAUAUUCUCAUUUAUAUAUGAAAGAAAAAUGGUUAAUACAGUCGGACCUCUUUAUAUUCCAUUUUUUCUCCCUUCCCUUCUUUGAUACUCCCUCGCUCCCCAAGGAUUUUUUUUCGUUCAACCGAAGUCUUUGGAGGGCUAGGCCAGUCAUUGAUUUUCGUCCUACAUUGAUUGAGAGCCUAAAAAGAGAAAGAAUAAGUAGGGAUAACCAUUGGUAAACUCUGAUAGAAUAGAAGUUGGAAAGUUCUCAAAAGAGAUAGAGUCCAUAAAGCUCAAGAGGAUGAUCUACAUCUACUUCUACACAUCCACUUGAACUAAACCUUCCUCCCCAAUUAAAGUAUCUUUCAACUCAACUCUAACUUACAUUGUCAAAAAAAAAAAUAUGCUUCUCCAAUUUGCUCUUCGGCGCUAACAAUUCCCACAACGGAGUAAUAUGGUAGAAAAAUUAACCAUGAGAAAAGAAGAUGCUCAAAGAAGAUGGUCGCAAAUAGCAUGCUCCAAAGUUCCAUGACUGCAGAUGAUGACUUUUCCUACUCAACAAACAAAUUAGUCAGACGUGCACCUUGUUCGAGAUCACUUGUAUUUUACACUCCCACAAAGGAAGAUCAAAACAAGGAGAUAGAUGUUUUCCUUGACGAUGACAUUCUAGAUGUUCUAUCUUCGCCUCGUGCAAUGGAUUAGAUUAGUGAUAGAAAAAUCAAAGAGUUCUCAAUUUGCAGAUUAGUGAUAGAAAGAUCAAAGAAGAGCAAAUGCCAGCAAUAACCCAAGCUAAGAGCCACAGAAAAUGAUGGAUAACCUGCCAAAACUCUUCAAUGCUAUCUUCUUCUUUACCACAAGCGUAUAGUAAUUAAAAAGGAGAAGCUAUUAAACAAAAUAAUCAUUGGCAGUGUUCAAAUACACUUGUUUAGAUUCAAAUUUUUAGUUGUUUGGAACUGAUCCACAUCUUGUCUUAUACUCAUAGGAGAAACUGAAGAGUAGCUAGAUUUGUUGUUUGAACUCGUACCCGAAUGGAUUUCUAAAUGUGAUGGUGUGCUAGUUUGGAUAAUUCAAAAACUUAGGCCUCCAUAGAAAAGGAAAUGUGAAAUCUUAUAUGGUUUCAUAUUUCAGCAUCAAUAAAUUGUCAAAUGUUAAAUC